CCUACGGGUGGCUGCAGUGGGGAAUAUUGCACAAUGGGGGGAACCCUGAUGCAGCGACGCCGCGUGGGUGAGGAAGUACUUCGGUAUGUAAAGCCCUAUCAGCAGGGAAGAAAAUGACGGUACCUGACUAAGAAGCCCCGGCUAACUCCGUGCCAGCAGCCGCGGGAAUACGUAGGGGGCAAGCGUUAUCCGGAUUUACUGGGUGUAAAGGGAGCGUAGACGGUGUGCCAAGUCUGAUGUGAAAUGUCGGGGCUCAACCCCGGGACUGCAUUGGAGACUGGCAUGCUGGAGUGCAGGAGGGGCAAGCGGAAUUCCUAGUGUAGCGGUGAAAUGCGUAGAUAUUAGGAAGAACACCGGUGGCGAAGGCAGCUUGCUGGACGGUAACUGACGUUGAGGCUCGAAAGCGUGGGGAGCAAACAGGAUUAGAUACCCGAGUAGUC
rnacentral:rRNA from 1 species